CCGAUCCCGACCGAGCUCCCUCUCCUCUUCCAUGGCCGCUCCUCUCCCUCACUUCGCGACCUGCCCUUCCUCCUCUCUCUCUCCUCAUAGGCUCUUUUCCCCCUACCGCCGCCGCCGUCGCCGCCUCCUCCAAUGUCGCCGGGAGCUUCGCUUCCUCUCUCGGGACUGCUCUCCUCGUCGGCGCUCCACCGUCUGCGUCGCUUCCGUCAGGGAGUCCAGGAUAAGAUGAGGAAGUUUCACAGAAGUUGGGAGUCCACAGCCCUUCACUCUUCGACUGUUUUAGUGCUAACAGUCAAUAAGUGUUGCACUCAAGAACAUGAAAAUCGCUGUGCGGCAUUUCCUUGUAUUCAGAAUUUCCAAGGAGUGGGACAACGUCAAACUUGUGAUGGGAUUUCUUCUCGACAUUGUAAAGCGGAUCGCUACAUUUGAGCAGCACUUGCAGUACCUCCUUCAUUGUAGGCCUCGUGGAAGGCAGAGUAGCAGUGCAAAAGAUCCCGAGCUUAAAGACAUUGCUUAUUUCAUCUACGUACGAGUCAUCCUUGAUCUCCUCAUCUAUCGCAUCAGAUAUUGGCUUGCCAUCUUGGAUGUGACGCCAUGCCCAAUCAGCGAGGCACAUGUCUUCGUCACCGUCGUUAGCCUCCCUCCCGGUGGUCAGUUCCAAGAGAACAACCCCGAAGCUAUAAACGUCGAUCUUCUCAUUAACUCUUGUCGUAUGAGCAUACUCUGUUGUUCAACAAAAAAAAAUGGCAAGACAAAUCUAAAUAUUCCUGCUGGUAGGAUA